rnacentral:rRNA from 1 species
AGAAUCAACGCUGGCGGCGUGCCUAACACAUGCAAGUCGAACGCGAAAGGGGCUUCGGCCCUUAGUAGAGUGGCAAACGGGUGAGUAACGCGUGGGUGACCUACCUUCGAGUGGGGGAUAACGUUUCGAAAGGAACGCUAAUACCGCAUGACAUUCGGCCUUUGGACAGGCGGAAAUCAAAGCCGGGGAUCGCAAGACCUGGCGCUUGGAGAGGGGCCCGCGUCCGAUUAGCUAGUUGGUGAGGUAACGGCUCACCAAGGCGACGAUCGGUA